UCACUAUUGCCAGAUUCCUCUGAAUUCACAGAUGUGUAGCUCCAAAGGAUCAGCUUCACACAACCUAAAGACUGCCUGGAGGUGCAACAAAUGUAGAAGAAAACGUCCAUAUUUUCCUUCAGACUCAUGUGUUCCUUCGUGGGCAGAAUGCUGCGGUCAGCGAUUUGAGGAUUCUUCCACUGGAUUUUAAACAGAAACAUACUGUUGAAUGUCUGCAUUGGCGGCUUCCUUCAGCUUUUUCUACCCUGAGGACUUUCCAGGCUGAAAUCUGAAUUGUUUACCAAAGUCUGUGGCUCUGGGCCAUGGGUGAGGAUCAAGAAAGAAUGAAGGGUCACAGCUUAGUGACUUAUGCUGUUGUCUGUGAGUACAUCCUGAAGAGAUAUCAACCAUUGGAGUUUGGGAACUGAAUUACCUACUUCCCUUAUACACCGGUGUCUCCUAAGGGCAUCCAUGAGAUAAUAUUGCCCACUUCAGAUGGAAUUCCCACACAGGUAUAAUCAAGAAGAGGGAUCUCAAAGGUUGAGACUGUGGAAUGGGAGCAUUGGCAACUCCUGCAAAAAUGGAAACACUUUGCAUAACAACCCAACGAUGGCCUGUGUCUGUCAUUCGAAGACUAAUUACAGCUGCAUUUGGACAACAAACAAUAUCACUUUCAGAGCAUUGGCCAUCAAGUGGUAAUCUUGCUUUUCUUUUGGAAAUGGCAACUCAAAAGAGCAUGCAUGAAGGCAUAGAAUUAUUGUGCUCUUCCAUGUUGAAAGGAAUAUUC